CUAGUAAUCGCGGAUCAGCAUGCCGCGGUGAAUACGUUCCCGGGCCUUGUACACACCGCCCGUCACACCAUGGGAGUUGGAAAUACCCGAAGCCUGUGAGCUAACUUAAAGAGGCAGCAGUCGAAGGUAGAGCCAAUGAUUGGGGUGAAGUCGUAACAAGGUACC
rnacentral:rRNA from 1 species